GUGCACCAGUCGAGAAUUUUUCACAAUGGGGGAAACCCUGAUGGAGCGACGCCGCGUGGAGGAUGAAGGUAUUCGUAUCGUAAACUCCUGUCAAACGGGAACAAGAAAGUGAUAGUACCGUUAGAGGAAGAGACGGCUAACUCUGUGCCAGCAGCCACGGUAAUACAGAGGUCUCAAGCGUUGUUCGGAUUCAUUGGGCGUAAAGGGUGCGCAGGCUGUGGGGUAAGUCGGAUGUGAAAUUUAGGGGCUCAACCCCUAAACUGCAUUCGAUACUGCUCCGCUAGAGGACUGUAGAGGAGAUUGGAAUUCACGGUGUAGCAGUGAAAUGCGUAGAUAUCGUGAGGAAGACCAGUGGCGAAGGCGAAUCUCUGGGCAGUUCCUGACGCUCAUGCACGAAGGCCAGGGGAGCAAACGGGAUUAGAUACCCCGGUAGU
rnacentral:rRNA from 1 species